UACGAAGGGGGCUAGCGUUGCUCGGAAUCACUGGGCGUAAAGGGUGCGUAGGCGGGUCUUUAAGUCAGGGGUGAAAUCCUGGAGCUCAACUCCAGAACUGCCUUUGAUACUGUGGAUCUCGAGGGAGGUAGGGGCACGCGGAACUUCCGGUGGAGCGGUGAAAUGCGUAGAUAUCGGAAGGAACGCCGGUGGCGAAAGCGGCGUGCUGGACCUCUACUGACGCUGAGGCGCGAAAGCCAGGGGAGCAAACGGG
rnacentral:rRNA from 1 species